GUCCCUGUGAGGAAUCCAAGACCUACUGAUAGGAAGUGCCGUAUGACACCGUAAACAGCAGCUGUUUUACGCCUAUGCAAGUGUCCAUCUUUCGAUCAUAACCUUGGUGGUUUGGUCUGGAAUAGAGGACCCAUUUGCACAUCGGCUUGAUUCAGCUGUGUGCGUGAUUUUAAAUGGGUCUCUGAGGGAU
rfam:Oryza brachyantha chromosome 2, whole genome shotgun sequence.